rnacentral:rRNA from 1 species
UGUGGUCAUACCACUCUGAGAUUACCUGAACUCACUCGAUCCUGAAAACUAAGCAGGAUUGGGCCUAGGUAGCAUUUAUGUAGGAGAAUAUAUGUUAUUAACCACAA